UCCUACGGGGGGCAGCAGUCGGGAAUAUUGCGCAAUGGAGGAAACUCUGACGCAGUGACGCCGCGUGCAGGAAGAAGGUUUUCGGAUUGUAAACUGCUUUAGACAGGGAAGAAAAAAGACAGUACCUGUAGAAUAAGCUCCGGCUAACUACGUGCCAGCAGCCGCGGUAAUACGUAGGGAGCAAGCGUUAUCCGGAUUUACUGGGUGUAAAGGGAGCGUAGACGGCGCGGCAAGUCUGAAGUGAAAGGCAGGGGCUUAACCCCUGAACUGCUUUGGAAACUGCCAUGCUAGAGUGCUGGAGAGGU
rnacentral:rRNA from 1 species